UCGCGGGGACGACCUCGCGGCUCGAUCGAGUUAUCAAUCUGGGGACGGCCCCA
rnacentral:ncRNA from 1 species